rnacentral:misc_RNA from 1 species
GUGAAUCAUCAAAUUUUUGAACGCAAAGGGAACGAUCUGGUAUUCCGGAGAGUAUGCCUGUUUGAGGGUAAUUAAAAAGAAUCUUUAAUCAAUUUUUUUUGGUCAAAGGAAAUGAGCUCUCCGCGUUUAUAGCGGUAGCUUGAAAUAAAUGGUCAAGUCUCAUUUUAGUCUAGACGCGUAAUAAUAUUAUUUCGCGACAUCUUUAUUCUGUGACUAUCAAGUUUUGUUGCAAAUAAAUUUACUUUUUAU